rnacentral:rRNA from 1 species
UACGUAGGGUGCAAGCAUUAAUCGGAUUUAUUGGGCGUAAAGGGCGCGUAGGCGGAUAGGCAAGUCAGCUGUGAAAGCCCUCAGCUCAACUGAGGAAUGGCGGAUGAUACUACUUAUCUUGAGGGUAGGCGGAGAGAACGGAAUUCCACGUGUAGCGGUGAAAUGCGUAGAUAUGUGGAAGAACACCGGUGGCGAAGGCGGUUCUCUAGCUUAUUCCUGACGCUGAAGCGCGAAAGCAAGGGGAGCAAACAGG